rnacentral:misc_RNA from 1 species
UGCAUCAGUUUUUGAAUCAAUUUCAAGAUAAGAGUUGUUAGCGGCCUUGGGCCUUUCAGUAGUUGCUUCUCGAAAUGCUUUUGGAAUUAUUUCUUCCUUGAUACAAUUAAGGUCAGCACCUGUAUCAAAUAGAGCAAUAGUAUCCAAUGGAAAAUCAUCAGAAAUUUUCAAAGUUAUUUUGACCAAAUAUUUUUGGGAAGUGACUUGUUUUAAAAUUGAAAGAAAAUUAUCUGGAACAUCUUGUAGAUUGGCUAGUUGUGGUGUUUCAGUUUCAGGUUCUUGAUUGUCUUCUUCUUCUUUAGAAAAUUUGUUAAGAAGAAGUUGAAUGGCAACAGAGUCUUCCUUCUAUUUGUUUUGGAGUUGCUUGAGUUCAAACUUGAUAGUUUUGAUUUCAGUCUGGAGUUCUUGAAUGGUGGAAGCAGAGGUUUUUGUUUUGGAAGUUUUGGCCUUUUGUAAGAUGACUGUGAGGUCAUAUGGGUUAUUGGCUUUAGAUGGCACAGAAGUAGAAGGGGUUUGAGAAGAUGAUGCCUCAAAAGAAUGUUGAAGCUCGGUGAGAUAUUCUUUCUGAAGUUGAGGGUCUUGGAUGUGUUGAAUAACAUCAAGCAUAAACCUUUGAUCUCUGGUGAGCAUAUUCAGUUGUUUUUCGAAUUUAUCAGAAGUAGAAGAGUCGGAGAGGACUUCAUCAAGCUGGAGGGCCUGAUUAUCUUCUGAAGAAAUUGAAACAGUUUCUUCAGAAUCAGAAGACUCAAGUAAAAGGGCUUCAAGUUUACACAAAGUUGCUUCUUCAAGUUGGAGCUCAUGGAUUCUCCUGUUGAGCUUGCAAUAUUUUGCAAUGUGACCUUUCUUGCCACAUCUAUAGCAAGUAACAUCUUUUUUGGGAGUAGAAUUGGGAUUAUAGGGUCUUUGAGAAGGUUUUUGGUACUUUCUGCUGUAAGACUUUCCUUUGGGAGGUCUGUCUUGGUAGUAGGUGGUUUUUUGUUUGGAAAAGUGUUUUUUGUGCUUGCGAUGUCUUCUGGUUUGACAGUCUGUGCAUGGCUUGAAAGUUGAAGAGGAAGAUGGUUUUUGGUAGGAAAUAUCAAAUUGUUGGUAGAAGGUUCCAAGUUCUUUUUUGGUUUUGUGGAGCUCCCAUUUGAGUUGUUUCUGUAGCUUAAGAUCUUGGCAAAUCUUCAAGCCUUCUUUCUGGGGGAAACUGAUGAGUUCUCCAUAAGUGAGCUGAUCAUAAAGAAUUUUUUCAUUGUUCUAUUCUUUGAUCUUAUUUCGAACCUUUUCUCCAAGGAGAGAGGGGAGGCCAGCAAGGAAUUUCUCCUUCCAAAAUGGUAGAUUAGAGUCUUCCCGAAGCAUAACUCUGGUAAAGAAAGUAUCCUUAUACCAUUUGAAGUCACUAAGCUUUUUACAUCGAAGAUUUGAAAGAAGCUCGGCAUUCUUGUCUUUGAGAUGCGAAGGAUCUCCGACAAAGUGAAGUGUCAAGGCUAAGAUGAGGGUGGCAACAACAUUUUGAAUUGGUCUGCCAUUUUCAUCAAGUAUCAGAUUUUGAUCUUCAUCAAGUUCAACAGACUUUAGAAUCUCAAGUUUCUGCUAGGCAGUGAGAUAGUAAUCCCACCAUCCUUUUAGUUGACUUGAGAGACCUGCUAUGAGAAGUUCUGCAAUAGCUUGAUCAGUGGUGCCUGUCUGGGUUCGAUAGGCAUUUGCUGGAAGAUAUUAAGGAUGUUGUACUCAGACAUUCCAUCUAUGUUCCAUUCAUAGACAGAGGAAGCAUUAUAACGGCUUUGAGAGAGGGCACUUGGCUUGUCUUCAAUGACAAUGUCUGAAGCAGUAGCUCUCGGAUAAUAGAGCUAUUGGGAGUUUUGCCAAUGGACUUUGUUGACUUCUAGGGAAGAAUUUUCUUGGAAAGCAUUUUCUUCAUCAGAAGAUUGUUUCAUAACAUUGAUAGAGGAUUCAGGGGUGUUCGAAAUAACAACAUUAGACUUAGUUGAAGUUCAGGAACCGAGUUGAUUCAGGCGAUCCUGAAUGGCUUGAAGGAAUUCUUCUUUGUUUCUCUGCUAGAACUGAGACAGAGAAGUCUUUGAUACCUCAAAGGGCUUGAAAACUGGGGCUUUUAUCUUUGAUCCCCCAGAUGAGGUAAUCACAGUGGGAUGCUGGAUUUGCUUUUGGAUAUCAUUCAACUAGUUCCCAAUAGUGUGAAGGUAAUUAUUGGUUCAAUUGUUUUGCUGGAUGAUGUUUUCAAGAUCUCUCUCAGCAUUUUUCUCGGACUUAACUUUAAAAGGUGAGGCUAUAAGGGUAGCUUUGUGGUGUUUAAAUUGGAGUUCUCUAAGGGGUGAAUGGACAGACUGAAUCCAUUUAUUCUUUGGAGUUUGCCAAGAAGGGAUUUCAGAGAGUGGAUUUAAGGACUUUGCCAGAAAAGGAUAUUCCAGAUUAUUCUCAGAAGCAUAAAUCUCAAACCAAUAAAAAAAAAAGUGUGCUUGCUGCUCAUGAAUAAAUGCAUAAAACUUUCCUUAGAUCUCAUGUCUCUGAUUCAAAAAGUGUUUGAAAAACCAAAGUUUUUUCUUAUGAUUAUGAGGAGCAUAAAAAUCAUUUUGAAGAUAUGCUUUAUCGACUUGAAAUUCCUUUUGAAAAACAUUUAUUUUAUCAUUUAUAUUCUCAGUCACAAAGGAAAAAGUUGGAAAUGUAGGUCUUGGUUGUUCUUUAAGAGUGGAAUAGACUGGUCUAGGUAUGGUAGUGGAAAAAUCAGCAGUUUGCAUUGAAGUUCUUGGUAUGUCAGAAGUUGAAUGUCUAGGUAAGUCAAAAAUUUAGUUGAAGUGUUCUUGGGUGGUUGGGAAGUUAACAACAGAAAGCGUUCGAGUAAUAGGUAAGUUUAUUACAGAAGGUAGGUUUGAAAUCCUUCCUAAAUUUAUAGUUUCAAAAGAAGAGGCAGUAUCAUAAGAGGGUCUCGAGUUUGUGAAUUUCCUAGUGAAGGAUAACUUUACUUUUCUGUUUGGGUAUUGGGCAAUUUGUCUAAGCUGUAUAUUUGGGCUUGGAGGAGAUAUUGGGCUCCUUCUAAGAUCCAAUCAUCUGAAAGGGAAACUUCAUUCCAUUUGAUAGAUCUAGGGACGACAGCAUUGGCUUUAGUGAGGUUAGUUUGUAGGAGGAGGGUUUCUCCUUUCUGACUGUGAAUAAGAACUUUAGAAGCAAAAGCAGUCAUCAUGGCUUUGUAAUGAACUUUAAAAAUCAAAGCAACAGGAAUAGAUCCAGGAAGCAUUUUAUAAUUAUGAGUUUUAAUUUGCAAAAUAAGACUAUCAAGCAAAUUUCUAUCAUUUAAAGAAACAGUUAAGUUUGGAUAACAUUCAAAAGAAAUUGGACUAGUGCAAAGACUAGACUCAACAGAACUAAGCAAAGAAUCUUAGAAGUCAUAGAAGCGAGCAUCUCUUAGAACAGCUAAGAUGGAAGUGUUCAGACCUUCUUUCGUUAAGGGCUUGAUUCCUACCUGAACUAACCCUAUAUGGACAUAGUUGUAACCUUUGGCUUUGUGUUUAUUUAAGGAAGCAGAAGUUAAAAGCCUAAUGAUUUCAAAAGGCUUUGUGAUUGGAAUAUCUCUUUCUUCAGUUUUAAUGGUAUAAUCAGUUUUGGUAAGGAAGUUAAACUUGCUUUGUUUAUAGAUCUGAUCUUUUUGGACUUUAGGAAGUUCCCAAUUAUCUAUUGCUUUUUCAAAGUCUUGAAUAAUUAAUUCUUCACUGUUGACUAUCUUUUCUCCAGUCCCAGAGGUAAAAGAACUGGAAAUAGAUUAAUUUCUGCAAAAUACAUCCAUGAGUUGAAUAGUCUAAUUAAUACAUUCCCUACAAUAGGAUAUCUGGAUUUAUAGCCAAACCACUAGGACUUAUGACCAGCAACCUUAAAAGGACUCAGGAAUGCACUAAUCAAACACCCUAAACUCACAAAAAUAUUAGACAAUAAUCACUCUAUCCCCCAGGCUCUGAUACCAAUGACAUGCAGGAUCGAUGGGAUAUCCAACAGAGCUAAAAUUAAUAUAAAGAAGAAGAAGAA